GGGCAAGUGGCGGAAUUGGCAGACGCACUGGAUUUAGGUUCCAGCGCCUUAGGUGUGAGAGUUCAAGUCUCUCCUUGCCCACCA
rnacentral:tRNA from 1 species